rnacentral:rRNA from 1 species
GAUGAACGCUGGCGGCGUGCCUAACACAUGCAAGUCGAGCGAAGAGACGAGGAGCUUGCUCCUGAGACGUUACCGACGGACGGGUGAGUAACAAGUGGACAACCUAUCUAUAUGACUUAGAUAACUUCGGGAAACCGUAACUCAUACCGGAUAAUUUCACCGAAUGCAUGGUUCAAUAGUGAAAGACGGUUUUUCUGUCACCUCUAGAUGGAUCCGCGCCGCAUUAGCUAGUUGGGUCGGUAACGCCUUAACAAGGCGACGAUGCGUAGCCGAGGGGAGCGAGUGAUCGGCCACACUGGAGGUGAGACACGGUCCAGACGCCUACGAGAGGCAGCAGUAGGGAAUGGGACGCAAUGGGGGAAAGCCUGACGGAGUGACGCCGCGUGAGUGAUGGAGGCCCUCGGAGCGGAAAGCUCGGUUACUGGUUAAGAACAAAUGUGUGAGUAGAUAUGCAGGACUUGACGGUACCUGAUCAGGAAGCCACGGCUAACUACGUG